rnacentral:rRNA from 1 species
CGGGCGCACGGCGGAUGCCUUGGCACAGGGAGCCGAUGAAGGACGCGGCAAGCUGCGAUAAUCCCCGGCGAGGAGCACACAUCCUUCGACCCGGGGGUCUCCGAAUGGGCGAACCCAUCCACAGAGGUGUGGAUAUCCCCACCCCGAACACAUAGGGGCGGGGAGGACAACCCGGGGAACUGAAACAUCUAAGUACCCGGAGGAGAGGAAAUCAAUCUCGAGACUCCCCGAGUAGCGGCGAGCGAAAGGGGACCGAUGGCCAAACCGUCGAGCGGGCAUACCCGGCAGGGGUUCCGCCGACGGGGUUGCAGGGCCGCGCAUCCGGGGGCUGCCGCCCCCGGGCGCAGGUCCGGCUGGGGAGCGGAACGGCAUGGGAGGGCCGGCCGCAGCGGGUGACAGCCCCGUACGCGAACCCAGACCGGACGGCGCGACGCGGUCCCUGAGUAGGGCCGGGCACGUGAAACCCGGUCCGAACCUGGGUGGACCACCAUCCAAGCCUGAGUACUACCCUGUGACCGAUAGCGCACCAGUACCGUGAGGGAAAGGUGAAAAGCACCCCGGGAGGGGAGUGAAACAGUACCUGAAACCGUGCGCCCACGAGCAGUCGGAGCACCUAUACGGUGUGACGGCGUGCCUUUUGUAGAAUGAGCCAGCGAGUCGCUGGCGCGGGGCGAGGUUAACCGAAAGGGAGCCGGAGCGAAAGCGAGCCUUAACAGGGCGACUUGAGUCCCGCGCCGCGGACGCGAAGCCGGGUGAGCUAUCCGUGGGCAGGCUGAAGCGGGGGUAAGACCCCGUGGAGGGCCGAACGCACGUCGGUUGAAAACGGCGGCGAUGACCUGCGGAUAGGGGUGAAAGGCCAAUCAAACCCGGAGAUAUCUCGUUCUCCCCGAAAUAGCUUUAGGGCUAGCGUCGCGCGUUCACCGCCGGAGGUAGAGCACCGGAUGGACGAGGGGGCUUCGCCGCCUACCGAAUCCAACCGAACUCCGAAUGCCGGCGGCCCAGAGCGCGGCAGUCAGAGCAUGUGGGCUAAGCUGUGUGCUCGAGAGGGAAACAGCCCGGACCGCCCGCUAAGGUCCCCAAGUUCCAGCCGAGUGGCAAAGGAUGUGCGUCCGCCCAGACAACCAGGAUGUUGGCUUAGAAGCAGCCAUGCAUUCAAAGAGUGCGUAACAGCUCACUGGUCGAGUGGACAUGCGCCGACAAUACACGGGGCUAAGCUGGACACCGAAGCGGCGGGAUUUUGAUUUUCAGAAUCGGUAGGGGAGCUUCCCAUGGGCGGGGAAGCCGCCGGGCGACCGGCGGUGGAGCGCAUGGGAGUGAGAAUGCUGGCAUGAGUAGCGAGAGACGAGAGAGUAACUCGUCCGCCGUGAACCCGAGGUUUCCUGGGCAAGGCUAAUCCUCCCAGGGUCAGUCGGGGGCUAAGGCGAGGCCGGAAGGCGUAGCCGACGCGCAGCAGGCAGACAUUCCUGCACCGCGCACGCGGCGCUACGACCGACGGGGCGACGGAUGGGGGUGGCUCGGCGGGGUUCUGGACGUCCCCGUGAUGGAGCGCGGCCCGCGGACCAGGGAAAUCCGGUCCGCAGAAGGGCGAGGCUCCGGACGAAGCGAUUGAGCGAAGCGAGUGAGCCCGAGGUCCCUAGAAAAACCCCUAGGCAGGCGCGUGCGCGCCCGUACCGCAAACCGACACAGGUGGGUGGGUAGAACAUACCGAGGCGAUCGGGUCCGCAAAAUUUGCCAAACUUCGCAUACUCUGCCAUGCCUGGAUAUUUCUCCUUGUUCCAGCGAAAAGCACCGCUGUCGGUAAUCACACCACUGAUAGCAUCACUGUUGGCAUUGAUGUAUUUCGAGGUCGAAUUGACUACAAUGUCCGCUCCUUUUUCAAUCGGGCGUACCAGAUAUGCCGUUGCUACCGUGUUAUCCAUCACAAGCGGCAGAUUGUGUUUGUGUGCUGUCUCUGCUAACUUCUCAAUAUCCACAACGUCCGAGUUCGGGUUGCCGAGCGUCUCGAUGUGGAUCGCUCUGGUGUUCUCCUGGAUUGCCUGCUCCACCUCGUCGUAAUUGAAUGGAUCGACGAAAGUUGUCGUGAUACCAUACUCCGGGAAUGUAUGUGCCAAUAGAUUGUAGGUGCCGCCGUAGAUGUUGUUGGCAGCCACGAUGUGCUCGCCGGCAUGCGCCAGAUUCUGAAGUGUAUAGGCGAUCGCCGCCGCACCGGACGCCACGGCAAGCGCUGCCACACCGCCCUCCAAAGCUGCGAUUCUCUGCUCGAAGACAUCCUCGGUCGGGUUUGUUAAUCUGCCAUAGAUAUUUCCCGCAUCGGUCAGUCCGAAACGCGCCGCCGCAUGCUCACUGUUGUUAAAUACAUAAGAAGAUGUCUGGUAGAUCGGCACUGCUCUCGCUCCGGUUACCGGAUCUGCCUCCUCCUGUCCUACGUGAAGCUGUAAUGUCUCAAAUUUGAAUUUUCUCUGAUCUCUUGUAAUUUUGCUCAUGUGUUUGUCCUCUUUUCUUUUAUUCUUAUAUUCGGUAAAAUAGUAAUUUCUUAUCUUAUGAUCAUCUGCUUAUCAGCGACAACAACACAUUCGCUUUUCUUCGAUAAACACCCUUGUUGACUUCUGUAAAACCUUCAUGAUAUCCUCCUGAUCAUCACGUUGCUCACCUUGUUUUGUGUGCUCCGUUUUUUGAUGAUGCAAUCAUAUCACCCUUUUCCUAGUAUGU